GAGUGUAGCUCAAUUGGAUAGAGCACCGGUCUACGAAACCGGCGGUUGAAGGUUCGAGUCCUUCCACUC
rnacentral:tRNA from 1 species